GAUAAACGCUGGCGGCGCACAUAAGACAUGCAAGUUGAACGGACUUAAUCGAACUAUUUAUAUUUUGAAGCGGUUAGUGGCGGACUGGUGAGUAACGCGUAAGGAACCUGCCUAUUAGAGGGGAAUAACAGUGAGAAAUCAUUGCUAAUACCGCAUAUGCGAUAGAUAUCACAUGAUAACAGUGGGAAAGGAGCAAUCCGCUAAUAGAUGGCCUUGCGUCUGAUUAGAUAGUUGGUGGGGUAACGGCCUACCAAGUCGACGAUCAGUAGCCGGACUGAGAGGGUGGACGGCCACAUUGGGACUGAGAUACCGCCCAGACUCCUACGGGAGGCAGCAGUCGGGAAUAUUGCGCAAUUGAGGAAACGCCGACGCAGUGACGCCGCGUAUAGGAAGAAGGUUUUCGGAUUGUAAACUAUUGUCGUUAGGGAAGAGAAAGGACAGUACCUAAGGAGGAAGCUCCGGCUAACUACGUG
rnacentral:rRNA from 1 species